UCCGGCUUGUCACCGGCGGUCUCGUCAGAGUGCCCAACUUAAUGAUGGCAACAGACGAUAAGGGUUGCGCUCGUUGCGGGACUUAACCCAACAUCUCACGACACGAGCUGACGACAGCCAUGCAGCACCUGUAUCUGGUCCACCCGAAGUGAAGAGGUGCAUCUCUGCUCCUCCCAACCAGUAUGUCAAGGGUAGGUAAGGUUCUUCGCGUUGCUUCGAAUUAAACAACAUGCUCCACCGCUUGUGCGGGUCCCCGUCAAUUCCUUUGAGUUUUAACCUUGCGGCCGUACUCCCCAGGCGGUGUGCUUAAUGCUUUCGCUCCGUCGCCGAAACUCUAAGAGUCCCGACAACUAGCACACAUCGUUUACGGCGUGGACUAC
rnacentral:misc_RNA from 1 species